CAGAGACCUCAAGCGUUAUCCGGAAUCAUUGGGCGUAAAGCGUACCGGUAGGUGGUUUACCAAGUCAGAUGUGAAAUCUCCGAGCUCAACUCGGAAUCUGUCAUUUGAAACUGGUAGACUAGAGGGGCAAAGAGGAAGCUGGAACGAACGGUGUAGUAGUGAAAUGCGUUGAUAUCGUUCGGAACACCAAUAGCGAAGGCGGGCUUCUGGGUGCCACCUGACACUGCUAGGACGAAAGCGUGGGGAGCGAAUGGGAUUAGAUACCCCAGUAGUCCACGCUGUAAACGAUGUACAUUCGCUGCUAGGGAGUAUCGACCCUCUUUAGUAGCUAAGCUAACGCGAUAAAUGUACCGCCUGGGGAGUACGGCCGCAAGGCUA
rnacentral:rRNA from 1 species